rnacentral:rRNA from 1 species
UAGGGAAUCUUCGGCAAUGGACGAAAGUCUGACCGAGCAACGCCGCGUGAGUGAAGAAGGUUUUCGGAUCGUAAAACUCUGUUGUUAGAGAAGAACAAGGACGUUAGUAACUGAACGUCCCCUGACGGUAUCUAACCAGAAAGCCACGGCUAACUACGUGCCAGCAGCCGCGGUAAUACGUAGGUGCAAGCGUUGUCCGGAUUUAUUGGGCGUAAAGCGAGCGCAGGCGGUUUCUUAAGUCUGAUGUGAAAGCCCCCGGCUCAACCGGGGAGGGUCAUUGGAAACUGGGAGACUUGAGUGCAGAAGAGGAGAGUGGAAUUCCAUGUGUAGCGGUGAAAUGCGUAGAUAUAUGGAGGAACACCAGUGGCGAAGGCGGCUCUCUGGUCUGUAUCUGACGCUGAGGCUCGAAAGCGUGGGGAGCAAACAGG